ACGGGGAAGGAACCAACAGGGGGAUUGCCUCAGCUAACGGCGAGUGAAGCGGCAACAGACUCAAAUUUGAAAUCUGGCUCCUUCGGGGCCCGAGUUGUAAUUUGCAGAGGAUGCGUCGGGUACGGGUGCCUUCCGAGUUCCCUGGAACGGGACGCCAUAGAGGGUGAGAGCCCCGUCUGGUAGGACACCCAGCCCGUGUGACGCUCCCUCGACGAGUCGAGUAGUUUGGGAAUGCUGCUCUAACGGGAGGUAUACUCCUUCCAAGGCUAAAUACCGGCUGGAGACCGAUAGCGCACAAGUAGAGUGAUCGAAAGAUGAAAAGCACUUUGAAAAGAGAGUCAAACAGCACGUGAAAUUGUUAAAAGGGAAGCGCUCGCUACCAGACUUGGGUUCGGCGGUUCAACCGGGGCCACGCCCCGGGGCAUUCCGCCGGCCCAGGCCAGCAUCAGCUUUCCGUCGGGGGUAAAGGCGUCGGGAAUGUGGCUCCCCUUCGGGGGAGUGUUAUAGCCCGUCGUGUCAUACCCUUCGGGGGGCUGAGGUACGCGCUUCUGCAAGGAUGCUGGCGUAAUGGUAGCUAGUGACCCGUCUUGAAACACGGACCAAGGAGUCAACCUUAUGUGCGAGUGCCCGGGCGUAAAACCCCAGCGCGGAAUGAAAGUGAACGUAGGUGAGAGCUUCGGCGCAUCACCGACCGAUCCUGAUGUCCUCGGACGGAUUUGAGUGAGAGCAUAUAGGGUUGGACCCGAAAGAAGAUGAACUAUGCGUGUGUAGGGUGAAGCCAGAGGAAACUCUGGUGGAGGCUCGCAGCGGUUCUGACGUGCAAAUCGAUCGUCAAACAUGCGCAUGGGGGCGAAAGACUAAUCGAAUCUUCUGGUAGCUGGUUUCCGCCGAAGUUUCCCUCAGGAUAGCAGUGUUGAUCCCAGUUUUAUGAGGUAAAGCGAAUGAUUAGGGACUCGGGGGCGCUAUAUUGCCUUCAUCCAUUCUCAAACUUUAAAUAUGUAAGAAGUCCCCGUUUCUUAACUGAACGCGGACGCUGGAAUGUCCAACACUAGUGGGCCAUUUUUGGUAAGCAGAACUGGCCAUGCGGAUAAACCAAAGCAGGGUAAGGGGCCGGAGUGGACCCCAUCAAAACCCAAAAGGGUUAAUAAUUUUGAACCCGGACGGGGCCUGGAAUCGAAAUCGCUAAGAAUGGUAAAACCCCCUGCCAAGGUAAACCCUAAAAGGGGGGGCAAGCCCCCCCCCCCCCCCCCCCUUUCCGCCCCCAAAAUAAGGAAGGAGGGGUACAAACCCGGGGGCCCGGGGGAGCCUGGAAUGUGGGGAAAAAGGAGGAAAAGAUAAAGCGGGGAAUGGAAAGAAAA
rnacentral:rRNA from 1 species